GCUACUUGAGAGGCUAAGGCAGGAGAAUCGCUUGAACUCAGGAGGCAGAGGUUGCAGUGAGCCGAGAUUGCACCAUUGCACUCCAGCCUGGGUGACAGCAAGACCCCAUCACAAAAAAAAAAAAAAAAAACAGUAAAAAUUAUCCAUAUGUCUGUCAUUAGAAAGACUCCUGCACAGCCAGUUUAUUUGGAAGGUGACUCCAAGAGGGGAUCAUGGGACCAGGGAGAAUGAGGCGGGGAAGAUUGAAAAGCCCAAUUAAAAAUGGAAGUUGAUCACUCCUGAAAGCAACAGCACUUGAUUCUGCCUCCUGAAUAACUUACAGAAUUGCCCACUGGCGGUCAGGAGGUGGGAGCACAGCCAUUAGAGAGAAACUCUAGAGAAAAAAAGCAAAACAACUCAAGACACAUACUUGAGUCAAGAUGCUGUCAGCACAAGCUGAUUCUACAUUCACGUGGAACUGUCCCCUUCAAGUGUGGCUGACAUCAGAGGUGGCCCAACUGGACAUGUCAUGAGGCUCCUGGCUGCAUAGAGUUGCUGGAAAAAAAAUUAUAGAAUGUGCUCAAAGCACCCUGGAAUAAGAGAACAAAGGACAUACAUAUAUAAAGAGUGACAGCCUACAAUUCAAACAUUGAUGGGUAACAUAUGUGCUUAAAGGAAAGAACAUGUGGAAACCAUGAGAAAUGAAAGUACCCCGCCAAACCCAGCCAAAUCCAACCUCACCUCUCCUAGACACUUCCCCCUACAGUUUCUGGAGUUUCCCAGCUUCCUUGAGCAGGGAGCUUGCUCUUGAGAGAAGUGACUUCAGCUGAGGCAUUUCCCGCAGUGUGGACUGAAAGCUGAGGGUUAUUUGCUGGCAGUACUCCCAGAACUUGACUGGACUCAAACAUCUGGCCUCAAGUGAUCCUCCUGCUUUGGCCUCCUAAAGUGUUGAGAUUACAGACAUGAAUCACCGCACUCAGCCUGAGACAUACUUCUUUAAUUCCUGUAACAUUAUUUUAUGCUUUGAUACCUGAUGGAUAAUGCAGGGCCAAGCUGCACCAUGUUCCUAAGAGAAAGCCAAGAACAUAAGUCACACAAGCCCUCAGGAAGAGAAGGAAAGAAUGAGUGACAGUAGACCGCAGAUGUGAGCAAAUUCAUGGAGGAUGGAAACUGAAUGAGGGAAUGGUGGCUGGCUUAACUUAACAGAGGAAAGUGCAUUCUAAAUACCUAUCAUAAAAGCAACAAAGAGAAUAAGCCUAUCCACUCCACACUUUGGAACUGCCUGUUUAAAAGUUGAUCCCCGGACCCCACCAAGUCUACAAGCUCCACCUCAAGGACAGAAUGGAAACUGUAUUCAUCGAGGGGCUUUUAAUUGACAAAUAAAAAUUGUAUAUAUUUAUCCAUGUAUAAUAUGAAGGUUUGAAAUAUGUAUACACUGGGGAAUGGCUAAAUCAAGCUAACUAACAUCUGCAUUACCUCACAUACUUAUUUUUUGUGGUGAGAACACUUAAAAUCUACUCUCUUAGUAAUUUUCAAGAGUACAAUAUAUUGUUAUUAACUAUAGUCACAAUGUUGUCUAGCAGACCCUUCUCAGAAUCUAACAAAAUGUUUGGCUAGUAAUAGGGGCUCAAAAAGUAUUUGUGAGUGAAAAGAGUGAAUAUAUUAAUUAAUUUGUUAAUGUAUUCACUGGCAGGUGUAUUUACCUAAUUCAGUCUUUAAAAUAAUGUUCUAUAUUCCAAGUUUUCCUUAGGGAGUUAACCCAAUAUUAUAGCUUGAUUGUUUACACAAGACCCAUAAAACAAACUAUAAUAGCAAUAGUCAACAAAGAGAUGAUAUUGGCAUAAUAUAAUGCUAUAUUGGUUUUAUUGUGCUGCCAUAACAAAUUACCAAAAAUUUAGUAUCUUAAAAC
rnacentral:lncRNA from 10 species